rnacentral:rRNA from 1 species
AUUGAACGCUGGCGGCAGGCCUAACACAUGCAAGUCGAGCGCGCGGCGGACGGGUGAGUAAUGUAUGGGGACUGCUCGAUCGAGGGGGAUAACUACUGGAAACGGUGGCUAAUACCGCAUACUAUCGGAUAACCCAUAUGGGAUUAACUAGUAGGUGGGGUAACGGCUCACCUAGGCGACGAUCUCUAGCUGGUCUGAGAGGAUGAUCAGCCACACUGGAACGGAGACACGGCCCAGUCUACACCGGAGGCAGCAGUGGGGAAGAUUGCACAAUGGGCGCAAGCCUGAUUCAGCCAUGCCGCGUGUAUGAAGAAGGCCUGAGGGUUGUAAAGUACUUUCAGCUGUGAGGCGUUACCCGCAGAAGAAGCACCGGCUAACUCCGUGCCAGCAGCCGCGGUAAUUC